GUCUACGGCCAUGCCACUCUGAACAAGCCCGAUCCCAUCUCAUCUCGGAAGCUAAGCAGGGUCGGGCCUGGUUAAUACUUGGAUAGCAGACCACUUAGGAAGACCAGGUGCUGUAGACC
ensembl:rRNA 5S_rRNA 5S ribosomal RNA